GGCCAGGUAGCUCAGUUGGUACGAGCGUCCGCCUGAAAAGCGGAAGGUCGCCGGUUCGAUCCCGGCCUUGGCCA
rfam:Mycobacterium sp. 852002-51759_SCH5129042 contig_216, whole genome shotgun sequence.